rnacentral:rRNA from 1 species
UACGUAGGGUGCGAGCGUUGUCCGGAAUUAUUGGGCGUAAAGAGCUCGUAGGCGGUGUGUCACGUCGGCCGUGAAAACCUGCAGCUUAACUGUGGGCGUGCGGUCGAUACGGGCAUCACUGGAGUUCGGCAGGGGAGACUGGAAUUCCUGGUGUAGCGGUGAAAUGCGCAGAUAUCAGGAGGAACACCGGUGGCGAAGGCGGAUCUCUGGGCCUUACCUGACGCUGAGGCGCGAAAGCUAGGGGAGCGAACAGG